rnacentral:rRNA from 1 species
UACGGGGGGUGCGAGCGUUGUCCGGAAUCACUGGGCGUAAAGGGCGCGUAGGUGGCUUUGUAAGUUUGCGGUGAAAGCCCGGGGCUCAACCCCGGGUCUGCCGUGGAUACUGCAAGGCUUGAGUACUGUAGAGGCAGGUAGAAUAUCGGGUGUAGCGGUGAAAUGCGUAGAUAUCGGAAGGAACACCAGUGGCGAAAGCGGCUUCCUGGUCCGACACCGACGUUCAGGCACGAAAGCGUGGGGAGCAAACAGG